rnacentral:rRNA from 1 species
GCAGUCGAGCGGAGUGAUGGUGCUUGCACUAUCACUUAGCGGCGGACGGGUGAGUAAUGCUUAGGAAUCUGCCUAUUAGUGGGGGACAACAUUUCGAAAGGAAUGCUAAUACCGCAUACGUCCUACGGGAGAAAGCAGGGGAUCUUCGGACCUUGCGCUAAUAGAUGAGCCUAAGUCGGAUUAGCUAGUUGGUGGGGUAAAGGCCUACCAAGGCGACGAUCUGUAGCGGGUCUGAGAGGAUGAUCCGCCACACUGGGACUGAGACACGGCCCAGACUCCUACGGGAGGCAGCAGUGGGGAAUAUUGGACAAUGGGCGCAAGCCUGAUCCAGCCAUGCCGCGUGUGUGAAGAAGGCCUUAUGGUUGUAAAGCACUUUAAGCGAGGAGGAGGCUACUGAAGUUAAUACCUUCAGAUAGUGGACGUUACUCGCAGAAUAAGCACCGGCUAACUCUGUGCCAGCAGCCGCGGUAAUACAGAGGGUGCAAGCGUUAAUCGGAUUUACUGGGCGUAAAGCGCGCGUAGGCGGCUAAUUAAGUCAAAUGUGAAAUCCCCGAGCUUAACUUGGGAAUUGCAUUCGAUACUGGUUAGCUAGAGUGUGGGAGAGGAUGGUAGAAUUCCAGGUGUAGCGGUGAAAUGCGUAGAGAUCUGGAGGAAUACCGAUGGCGAAGGCAGCCAUCUGGCCUAACACUGACGCUGAGGUGCGAAAGCAUGGGGAGCAAACAGGAUUAGAUACCCUGGUAGUCCAUGCCGUAAACGAUGUCUACUAGCCGUUGGGGCCUUUGAGGCUUUAGUGGCGCAGCUAACGCGAUAAGUAGACCGCCUGGGGAGUACGGUCGCAAGACUAAAACUCAAAUGAAUUGACGGGGGCCCGCACAAGCGGUGGAGCAUGUGGUUUAAUUCGAUGCAACGCGAAGAACCUUACCUGGCCUUGACAUAGUAAGAACUUUCCAGAGAUGGAUUGGUGCCUUCGGGAACUUACAUACAGGUGCUGCAUGGCUGUCGUCAGCUCGUGUCGUGAAAUGUUGGGUUAAGUCCCGCAACGAGGGCAACCCUUUUCCUUAUUUGCCAGCGAGUAAUGUCGGGAACUUUAAGGAUACUGCCAGUGACAAACUGGAGGAAGGCGGGGACGACGUCAAGUCAUCAUGGCCCUUACGGCCAGGGCUACACACGUGCUACAAUGGUCGGUACAAAGGGUUGCUACCUAGCGAUAGGAUGCUAAUCUCAAAAAGCCGAUCGUAGUCCGGAUUGGAGUCUGCAACUCGACUCCAUGAAGUCGGAAUCGCUAGUAAUCGCGGAUCAGAAUGCCGCGGUGAAUACGUUCCCGGGCCUUGUACACACCGCCCGUCACACCAUGGGAGUUUGUUGCACCAGAAGUAGGUAGUCUAACCGCAAGGAGGACGCUUACCACGGUGUGGCCGAUGACUGGGGUGAAGUCGUAACAAGGUAGCCGUAGGGGAACCUGCGGCUGGUCACCCUCCC